rnacentral:rRNA from 1 species
AAAUCGUUGGCGGUAUGCCUUAACUUGCACCUCGUAACAGGGUAGCCGUAACCCGGAUCUGGUAACCGUAAAACGGGUGAAUAAAUAUGGAAAACGUGCCUAGUAGUGGGGGAUAACUACUCGAAAGAGUGGCUAAUACCGCAUGAGAUCUAUGGAUGAAAGCAGGGGACCUUCGGGCCUUGCGCUACUAGAGCGGCCGAUGGCAGAUUAGGUAGUUGGUGGGAUAAAAGCUUACCAAGCCUACGAUCUGUAGCUGGUCUGAGAGGACGAUCAGCCACACUGGGACUGAGACACGGCCCAGACUCCUACGGGAGGCAGCAGUGGGGAAUUUUGGACAAUGGGCGCAAGCCUGAUCCAGCAAUGCCGCGUGCAGGAUGAAGGCCUUCGGGUUGUAAACUGCUUUUGUACGGAACGAAAAGUCUUGGGUUAAUACCCUGGGAUCAUGACGGUACCGUAAGAAUAAGCACCGGCUAACUACGUGCCAGCAGCCGCGGUAAUACGUAGGGGUGCAAGCGUUAAUCGGAAUUACUGGGCGUAAAGCGUGCGCAGGGCGGUUUUGUAAGACAGUGGUGAAAUCCCCGGGCUCAACCUGGGAACUGCCAUUGUGACUGCAAGGCUGGAGUGCGGCAAAGGGGGAUUGAAAUUCCGCGUGUACCAUGAAUGCGUAAAAUAUGCGGAGGAACACCAUGUGGAAGGGAAUCCCCUGGGGCCUGCAUGAAGCUCU